ACGACGCUGGCGGCGUGCUUAACACAUGCAAGUCGAACGGACGAGUGAGAUAAGUUUACUUAACUCACAAGUUAGUGGCGGACGGGUGAGUAACACGUGGAUAAUCUACCUGCAACACCGGGAUAACGCUGUGAAAACGGUGCUAAUACCGGAUACGUUCCCUUGUGCGCAUGUAUGAGGGAAGAAAGCUCAGGCGGUUGCAGAUGAGUCCGCGGCUGAUUAGCUAGUUGGUGAGGUAAAGGCUCACCAAGGCGAUGAUCAGUAGCCGGCCUGAGAGGGUGAACGGCCACACUGGGACUGAGACACGGCCCAGACUCCUACGGGAGGCAGCAGUGGGGAAUCUUCCGCAAUGGGCGCAAGCCUGACGGAGCAACGCCGCGUGGGUGAAGAAGGCCUUCGGGUUGUAAAGCCCUGUCUUAUGGGAAGAAGUCAGUGACGGUACCAUAGGAGGAAGCCACGGCUAACUACGUG
rnacentral:rRNA from 1 species